UUUUGUUCGUGGGAAACCCACAAAUAUAUGUGAUCAUCCUACGAAGAAUAUGAUUCUAGGCCUUUUCAGUUUUGAUGUAUUUUCCAAUACGAUUAUUUUUUUUUCUAAUUUUAGACAUAAUUUGUCUCGUGCUUUGUGCAAAACAUGUUGAGGAAGGUUAUGGAGAGCUUAUGGAAGUUAUAAGUUUAAAUUUGAAGUUGAAACCACUCGCUCGUGUCCAAUUUUAAAUCUAGUGGUUAGGUUACCCUACCGGGCAACCUAUGCUCCAUUUUCCAACUGUUGAAAAUUGGAGGUUGCCAUAUAAUUACACUACCUUCAAUUCAUUCAUAAUAGAGUAUAGAAAAAAAGAGAUAUAUUGUACGAAAUGGUUAGCAAACUAUUUAUAACAGUGUAUGUAACCGAAGACUAGUAUUUGUUUAUAAACUCUCGUGACGAAUAGGUAAUACCGGGAAUAACUACUUACGAUACUACGCAACUUGUGAAACUAGAUGUGCAUACAAUACGCAUGCGACUAUACGCAUCUAAGGGAUCUUUUAUCUUGGUUAGAGAAAUUAUCAGUCACCUAGUAUUCCCCUAUGCUAGGCGCCAAAGCAGCAUUAUUUCAUAAAAAAGCAAAAAAUGCAUUUGCAAGCAAG
rnacentral:lncRNA from 1 species